rnacentral:rRNA from 1 species
CCUACGGGUGGCAGCAGUAGGGAAUAUUGCUCAAUGGGGGAAACCCUGAAGCAGCAACGCCGCGUGAAGGAUGAAGGUUUUCGGGUUGUAAACUUCUUUUGUUAGAGAAGAAAAUGACGGUAUCUAACGAAUAAGCACCGGCGAACUACGUGCCAGGAGCCGCGGUAAUACGGAGGGUGCAAGCGUUACUCGGAAUCACUGGGGGUAAAGGGCGCGUAGGCGGGAUAGCAAGUCAGAUGUGAAAUCCUUUGGCUUAACCAUAGAACUGCAUUUGAUACUGGUAGUCUAGAGUAUGGGAGAGGUAGGUGGAAUUCCUGGUGUAGGGGUAAAAUCCGUAGAGAUCAAGAGGAAUACUGAUUGCGAAGGCGACCUGCUAGAACGUAACUGACGCUGAUGCGCGAAAGCGUGGGGAGCAAACAGGAUUAGAUACCCUUGUAGUC